AUGUUUUAUGAGGUCACUGUGGGGCAGCCGGCAAGACAAGUCUCACAGGAGGACUUGCCCUUCAAAAAUCCAGACAUAUCCUUAGGGAGCAUGCCUCUGACUUGUAAAGGCGUCUAUGGAAAAAUAGAAACAACAGGAGAACAUGCAGCAAAACAGAAGGGGCGAAGCACAAGGAAAGAAUUGGCCCUGGAUCAAAGGCCCCAAUCCUGCUGGCCACAAGAUGUGAUUCCCAAAGUCUGCCAGGGCUGCAAACCCAUGCAAGGUGCAGGGUGGUCCCUCUGCUGGUCUGGGGAAGGGCCUGGGCUGCCUCCGUAAGUUUGCUGCUCUCAUCAACUGGUAUAAGGCUGAGCCAUAACUCUCCCUUGAGAAAUAAGGGGAAAUUUUAAUGGGAAGAAGAAUGCCAGGAGGGCAAAAGUAACAGCAGGUGCAUUGCAGCACAUGGCAAAGAGGAAGGAGGGAAAGAGCCAUCUGUGAGGAUGGCUAGCAUCUGGUUAUCUAUAAAGGACAUGGCCUACCCCACAACUUCCAAGUACUGAUGAGGUUUCAGCAGGGAUGUAAGAGCAAAGCAAAGGAAGCCUGGAGAACUCAAUAGAUUCUGCCUUUUAAAAGUUAACGGCUUAGCCCUUAAGAUGUAACAGAAAAUGCAAGGAUGUUGACGUGAUGGCUUUGACGUGUUCUGACAGUAAGCACAAGUGAGGGUGUUUCCUCCAUUUGCUCUAAGCUUUUGACUUUGCUCUGUCACUAUGGGAAAUUCACCAUAAAAAAAGAAAAGAGAGAAUCUGAAGUUCUGUUGCAAAUUUUUCUUAAGCAUAAUUUACCACAGAAAGGAAGCUUAUCCAGCUUAUUGCACCGCCUGCAUAUCUCCCAAACUCCUCAGUGGUGUCAGAACCUGCUGACCACGUUUCACAGAUGGAAGAGAAGUCUGGAAGAGCACGAAGUUUCUAGAAAAUCAAUGAUAGGCAGAGUAGAGAUCCUAUAAACCCCUGAAAAAGUAGCGAUGACCUCCAGAAAAGAGACCUUAUCACCAUCCUAAUUCAGGAAAACCUUCUACUGGAGUUCACAUUUUCCUAGAACAUGACCUCCAGCAGUCACUUAGUGCAAAUCAAGAGGAAAUCAAACUACAUCUUUUCUUUCCGUGCUAGCGUGGGUGAAUUCUGCAGAACCACCAAACCUAAAUGUCCUCUACAGGUAAUCCAGGUAAUCACUGGGACAUCCUGUCUAAUAAAUGAGUUCACCUUGUUUAAACA
rnacentral:lncRNA from 1 species